rnacentral:rRNA from 1 species
AGAGUUUGAUCCUGGCUCAGGAUGAACGCUAGCGGCAGGCCUAAUACAUGCAAGUCGAGGGGUAAGGCUCUUUCGGGAGUACACGACCGGCGCACGGGUGCNNNNNNNNNCGUAUGCAACCCACCUGUAACAGAGGGAUAGCCCAUAGAAAUGUGGAUUAAUAUCUCAUAGUUCUUUUGUUCCGCAUGGGACGAAAGAUAAAGCUCCGGCGGUUAAAGAUGGGCAUGCGUGACAUUAGCUAGUUGGUGGGGUAACGGCCCACCAAGGCUACGAUGUCUAGGGGUUCUGAGAGGAUGAUCCCCCACACUGGUACUGAGACACGGACCAGACUCCUACGGGAGGCAGCAGUAAGGAAUAUUGGGCAAUGGAGGCAACUCUGACCCAGCCAUGCCGCGUGAAGGAUUGACGGCCUCUGGGUUGUAAACUUCUUUUGUACGGGAAUAACCCUCCGAACGUGUUCGGAGCUGAAGGUACCGUAAGAAUAAGGAUCGGCUAACUCCGUGCCAGCAGCCGCGGUAAUACGGAGGAUCCAAGCGUUAUCCGGAUUUACUGGGUUUAAAGGGUGCGUAGGCGGAUUGAUAAGUCAGUGGUGAAAGCCUGCAGCUUAACUGCAGAACUGCCAUUGAUACUGCCAGUCUGGAGUAUGGUUGAGGUAGCUGGAAUGUGUCAUGUAGCGGUGAAAUGCUUAGAGAUGACACAGAACACCGAUUGCGAAGGCAGCUCACAAAGCCAUUAUUGACGCUGAGGCACGAAAGUGUGGGGAUCAAACAGGAUUAGAUACCCUGGUAGUCCACACCGUAAACGAUGAUAACUCGCUGUCGGCGAUAAACAGUCGGUAGCCAAGCGAAAGCGAUAAGUUAUCCACCUGGGGAGUACGUUCGCAAGAUUGAAACUCAAAGGAAUUGACGGGGGCCCGCACAAGCGGAGGAACAUGUGGUUUAAUUCGAUGAUACGCGAGGAACCUUACCUGGGCUUAAAUGUAGAGCGACAGAUUGUGAAAGCAGUCCUUCUUCGGACGAUCUACAAGGUGCUGCAUGGUUGUCGUCAGCUCGUGCCGUGAGGUGUUAGGUUAAGUCCUGCAACGAGCGCAACCCUUACCUUUAGUUGCCAGCAUGUAAUGAUGGGGACUCUAAAGGAACUGCCUACGCAAGUAGUGAGGAAGGUGGGGAUGACGUCAAAUCAGCACGGCCCUUACGUCCAGGGCUACACACGUGCUACAAUGGCCGGUACAGAGGGCAGCCACCUGGUGACAGGGAGCGAAUCUCUAAAGCCGGUCUCAGUUCGGAUCGAAGUCUGCAACCCGACUUCGUGAAGCUGGAAUCGCUAGUAAUCGCGCAUCAGCCAUGGCGCGGUGAAUACGUUCCCGGGCCUUGUACACACCGCCCGUCAAGCCAUGGAAGCUGGGGGUACCUGAAGUCGGUUACCGCAAGGAGCUGCCUAGGGUAAAACUAGUAACUGGGGCUAAGUCGUAACAAGGUAACC